rnacentral:rRNA from 1 species
GAUGAACGCUGGCGGCGUGCCUAAUACAUGCAAGUCGAGCGAGCGGCGGACGGGUGAGUAACACGUGGAAACCUACCUAUAAGACUGGGAUAACUUCGGGAAACCGGAGCUAAUACCGGAUACUUAUAGAUUGCUCCGCGCUGCAUUAGCUAGUUGGGGGGGUAAAGGCCUACCAAGGCGACGAUCCGUAACUGGUCUGAGAGGAUGAUCAGUCACACUGGAACUGAGACACGGUCCAGACUCCUACGGGAGGCAGCAGUGGGGAAUAUUGCACAAUGGGCGCAAGCCUGAUGCAGCCAUGCCGCGUGUAUGAAGAAGGCCGUCGGGUUGUAAAGUACGUUCAGCGGGGAGGCGUUACCCGCAGAAGAAGCACCGGCUAACUCCGUGCCAGCAGCCGCGGUAAUAC